ACGUAGGAGGCGAGCGUUGUCCGGAAUUACUGGGCGUAAAGCGCGCGUAGGCGGUCUGUUGCGUAGGCGGUAAAAGCCCCCGGCUCACCCGGGGGAGGUCCGUCUAAACGAGCAGACUCGAGGGCGGUAGGGGCCGGUGGAACGCCCGGAGUAGCGGUGAAAUGCGUUGAGAUCGGGCAGAACACCAGUGGCGAAGGCGGCCGGCUGGGCCGUACCUGACGCUGAGGCGCGACAGCAUGGGGAGCAAACAGGA
rnacentral:rRNA from 1 species